GGGGAAUAUUGCACAAUGGGCGAAAGCCUGAUGCAGCAACGCCGCGUGAGUGAUGAAGGUCUUCGGAUUGUAAAGCUCUGUCUUUUGGACGAUAAUGACGGUACCAAAGGAGGAAGCCACGGCUAACUACGUGCCAGCAGCCGCGGUAAUACGUAGGUGGCGAGCGUUGUCCGGAUUUACUGGGCGUAAAGGGUGCGUAGGCGGAUGUUUAAGUGAGAUGUGAAAUACCCGGGCUUAACUUGGGUGCUGCAUUUCAAACUGGAUAUCUAGAGUGCAGGAGAGGAGAAUGGAAUUCCUAGUGUAGCGGUGAAAUGCGUAGAGAUUAGGAAGAACACCAGUGGCGAAGGCGAUUCUCUGGACUGUAACUGACGCUGAGGCACGAAAGCGUGGGUAGCAAACAGGAUUAGAUACCCUGGUAGUCCACGCCGUAAACGAUGAGUACUAGGUGUAGGAGGUAUCGACCCCUUCUGUGCCGCAGUAAACACAUU
rnacentral:rRNA from 1 species